AAAACUCCCCUUGUUAUCCCUAAGAGCUGUGCCCGGACAGGGACUGACCCCAAGUGCUGGCCCUGUGAAUUGUUCCCCUGGGGAUAACAGGCUCCGUUUGCCCACCACGGAACAAUUCGAGGCAAAAUAUUGCUUUGUUCUUCACCGUGCAGCUGGCAGUUCAGUUUGCAAAAAGAGGUACCACCGCUUGGGAUGGAGGAGGAGGUUACCAACACUAACUACUCAUUCCCGCACCAGUUUCCUGGAUGGCUGAGACACUUUAUUGACCAUUUUGUACAGGAAGAAAUACGUGGAAAUAAUUUACUUGAAGAAAUGGCAAUUUGUGCUGUGCAUUCCACUACAUCUGCUAUGAAGUAGUACGAUAAGAAAUACACUUUAGUCUAACAGUUCUAAUGGAUCUCUUAUAUCAGCGCCCAGCGAUGCCAGCUGAAUGUGGAUUUGGGGGGGAGGAGUGUUGAUGGCUUCAGCCCUCUUUAUUUCUGCAGAGGGAAAUAAUACGAGUCUUUCAAAGUUUAUUCCUGAAUGACAUUGUUUUGUCUUGCAGUUCAGAGUGCUAGACCAUGAAUCCCUUCUGCACCUAGAGAAGCAUUUGUCUUUACAAAAAGCUCUAUCUGAACAAUUCAUGACGGUUAAUAAAGAAAGCACUUCGAGUCCUGACACACUGAAUAUUACACAGGUAAAUCAGUCUUCAGAAGCUGAUUGGAGACAAGUUCUUUCACAGCAUACAUCUUUCAUUAGCGGUACUAAUUGCUUGAAUGCUAGACAUCUACCGAAAGAGAUGAGUAAAAGGAAAACAGAGUUACAGAAACAAUAACAAAAUGACAUAUGUAGGAAUGACAGCAGGUGGUAGAGCCAUGUGACAUUAGAUUUGCCAAGUACAAUUUGUAUUCUCUCAGGUUCUGUAUUUUCUGUCAAAUAUUACCUUAAAUUCUCAGAAUCCAGGAGAAAAAAAAU